CCUACGGGCGGCUACAGUGGGGAAUAUUGGACAAUGGGCGAAAGCCUGAUCCAGCCAUGCCGCGUGUGUGAAGAAGGCCUUCGGGUUGUAAAGCACUUUCAGUGGGGAAGAAAGCCUUGGGGCUAAUACCCUCGAGGAAGGACAUCACCCACAGAAGAAGCACCGGCUAACUCCGUGCCAGCAGCCGCGGUAAUACGGAGGGUGCGAGCGUUAAUCGGAAUUACUGGGCGUAAAGCGCGCGUAGGCGGUCUGAUAAGCCGGUUGUGAAAGCCCCGGGCUCAACCUGGGAACGGCAUCCGGAACUGUCAGGCUAGAGUGCAGGAGAGGAAGGUAGAAUUCCCGGUGUAGCGGUGAAAUGCGUAGAGAUCGGGAGGAAUACCAGUGGCGAAGGCGGCCUUCUGGACUGACACUGACGCUGAGGUGCGAAAGCGUGGGUAGCAAACAGGAUUAGAUACCCGUGUAGUC
rnacentral:rRNA from 1 species